AGUGAACGCUGGCGGUAGGCCUAACACAUGCGAGUCGAACGGCAGCACAGUAAGAGCUUGCUCCUACGGGUGGCGAGUGGCGGACGGGUGAGGAAUACAUCGGAAUCUACUUUUUCGUGGGGGAUAACGUAGGGAAACUUACGCUAAUACCGCAUACGACCUACGGGUGAAAGCAGGGGAUCUUCGGACCUUGCGCGAUUGAAUGAGUCGAUGUCGGAUUAGCUAGUUGGCGGGGUAAAGGCCCACCAAGGCGACGAUCCGUAGCUGGUCUGAGAGGAUGAUCAGCCACACUGGAACUGAGACACGGUCCAGACUCCUACGGGAGGCAGCAGUGGGGAAUAUUGGACAAUGGGCGCAAGCCUGAUCCAGCCAUACCGCGUGGGUGAAGAAGGCCUUCGGGUUGUAAAGCCCUUUUGUUGGGAAAGAAAAGCAGCAGGUUAAUACCCCGCUGUUCUGACGGUACCCAAAGAAUAAGCACCGGCUAACUUCGUG
rnacentral:rRNA from 1 species